rnacentral:lncRNA from 1 species
CUGCUGUGAGGAGCAAAUGAGAUCCUGGAUGUAAAGUGCUAUGUAAAUGAUGAUGAUGAUGAUGAUGACUAGAAUGAUAGAUCCACAGCACAGAUCCUGCUGAUGAUGUACAAUCACUUCAUUUUUCAGACUUAACUGCAUCCAUGGACUCAGGAUAUUGGUCGAUCAGAUUGUAAUUUCCUUGAGAGCAGGGUCUGUCUGCAUCUUUUUUGUAUCUUCAUGUUGAGCACAGUUGCUUGGCAUAUUGAAAACCCUUAGUAAAUGUUCAUUACUUGACUAAUUUAUUGACAGAAGGGCAGAAAGCCCGGGGGUCUUAUUGGUGCAACAUUAUCAUUUCUGGACAGUAUUGUGCAAGCAUUCUGACUUCUCCAGUUCAGGAGACAUUCCUCUUGUUCCUAUUUACAACCUUUGCUUUAUUGCUUUAGAGUUUGCUCCAGAGGGAUUGACUCUUAUUCAAAGGGAGGUAUUAGGUUCUGAUUCUGGUCAUUUUGAGUGCCUGAACCUACUGUUCCCAUCAUCCAUGCUACUUAGCCUCAUUCCAGUUUCUGACUUCCUACCUUAUACCGUGACCUCCUGCUUUGUAUCUUGCUUUUGAUCCCAGAGUCCUGCUUUAGAGAUGGCCAGCUCCAAUGUUCACUGUAACCCUGACACUUAACUGAGCCUACAGGUAGCUGAAUAGAGUCCAAGAAAGUGGGUCACAAGUCCAGGCCAGUGUAAAAUAUUUGUAAAAAUAUUUCCAGCAUAGGGGAAUUCCACAACUCCAUCAUUUUUAUUGCAAUUAUGCCAUAUAGAGUUCUGAGAAACCUAUCAAGAGUCUUAUCUGUAUUUUGCAGACGAAGAUGUCAAGACAAAGGGAUUUUGUCCAAGGUCAAACUUCCAGAGAUAGGUUUGGAGCUGUGCUGUUUAACCCACUUUGAAACAGAAUUUUAUCUUUAAAGUCAUUGAGAAUUUAGCCAACAAGCAAUGUUUGUCUUAUGCAAAUCAGUCAAUGUGGAGAAGAAGGGGAGCACUGGAAUGAGAAGCAGAAAACUUCAAUUCUGGUACAGAGCUGGGUUUGUGAUCUUGAAUGAGCAUCUUUAUCUCUCUGGGU